AGAGUUUGAUCAUGGCUCAGGAUGAACGCUGGCGGCAUGCCUAAGACAUGCAAGUCGAACGAGAUGGCCCAGUGAAGGUUGCGUGCUUGCACAAGACUGAAUCUGGAUCACCAUCUAGUGGCAGACGGGUGAGUAACACGUGGGUGACCUACCUUUUCGUUGGGGAUAACAGUUGGAAACGAUUGCUAAUACCGAAUAAAAUAUAAAAAGCCAAUUUUUAUAUUGAAAGGAGCCUUUAAAGCUUCGCG
rnacentral:rRNA from 1 species